UAGACAGGACAGGAGGCAACCACUCCAUC
rnacentral:piRNA from 1 species